GGGGAAUUAGCUCAGCUGGGAGAGCACCUGCUUUGCAAGCAGGGGGUCAUCGGUUCGAAMCCGAUAUUCUCUA
rnacentral:tRNA from 1 species